CGAAGAUAUUCAUCAUUUAAGGAGGCUCUUACCCGGCUGCUCUAAUCAAUGUAGCAACCGAAAAAUUAUCAUUAAUAAUUGGUUAUAAAAUUAUCGGAAAAUUAAAUAAAAAAAUAAAUGAUGAUUUUUACAUAGUGUAAGAGUAAGUUAUAUGUUCUAUUAGUGUAAAUAUUAAAAUUUAUACAAUAAGUCAGUUGACUACGUCAGUGCUAAAGAGCAGAAUAAUAACAUGCGCGUGUUACAACGUCGUCUGUAGCAGUCUGCAGCUAAAGUGAGGUGUAGCCGUGUAGCAUUGUAGCGAUUGAUGCGAUAAAGAGAUGGAGCCAAAAGAAAGAUAUAACGUGAGAAUGUUGAGAGGGAAAAUGAAAGGAAAAUUCUCGAAAAUAAAGGUUGCAAUAUGUCAAUGCGCGAGAGAAUAAUUAUGCCGCUACCAUACAGCGCAGAGAAAAGACAUGUGCAAGUGAGGUUAGAAACUUCGCGCGAUUUUGACACUCGGAAGAUCAUUCGCCUAACCUGUCAAAAAAAAAAAUAUGACGGAUUGCAGUGCGGAUUAUUGUACGAACUCAUCAAGCAAAGGCUUCCAAAUGUGUAGAUUUCCCACAAGAAGAGAAAAGAAGAAAACUGUGGAUCGCUAAUGUUAACCGUGCAGACUGGGUUCCUGGAGUGAGUUCGACAUUGUGUUCAAUUCAUUUCUCAGAUGAGAUGUGGGAAAAAACACGGGGAGGUAAACGCCGCUUGAAAUCUACAGCAGUUCCAACUAUUUUUGGUGAUCGUCUGAUACCAGUAAAUACAUCUGAAGAAGAUGAUAAAUCAAGGAAUAUUCCUGCUCAUGAAAAUUUUAAUGAAACAUCCGCAAGAGGCACAGGAAGAAAUACCCGUAAAUAAUGGUAAAAACGUGGAUUAUUCCCGCGGAAUUUGAUCACGCCGAGGCGGAGUCGAGGCACUUGAUUUACGAAGCGGACACCGAUGCGGAUCACAAGCUGACGAAGAACGAGAUUUUGGAGAAAUACGACAUCUUUGUCGGAUCUCAGGCGACGGACUUCGGAGAGGCAUUAGCGAGGCACGAUGAGUUUUAACGAGGUGCAAUCUCAUAAGAAAAAGAAAUUACUAACGAACAAAUUACUUAUAAUACUUAAAGCUAUUUAAGAUCUAGUUUAUCUACGAAAAAGAAUAUUUAUCUACUUGCGCGCCUUAAUAAAUAGAUGUGUUAUAUAUCAGUGGGUAUUCACAUAAUUGAUACAGUAGAUAGAAGGAAUGCAUGAAAUGCUAUAACUGCCAAAAAUUGUGACUGAAGGAUAUAAUAUCGAAGUGUGUGCCUGUAAAUCUAAAAACAACUCUAUGCCCUGCAACUCAACAGUAAGAAAUACACAUUCACUGUUAAUUAUUCCUGUAGCUACAGUCGUUUCGCUGUUUAUGUAUAAAAUUUUUGAAAUUCCCUGACACUUUCGGCUUAUUCUAUUUCUUCGAUAUGAAUAAUUGUACAAAUUAUGUAUAUUUGAUAUUUAUUACAAUUUAUGUGUGCAACUAUUAAUCAAGCGUAUAUCUUUUUACAAUUUUGUAGAACGCGCAAUAUGUAUUUAAAUUACAUACAGAGACCAUUGCAGUAAAUCAUGUAAUAUAUAAUGCAAUUAAAUAAAUAAAUACUCAUGUAUAUGAAAAUAUGAGGAGAGAAAAAGAUAAUAUAAACUCUGAAAUAACAAUAACAUAUA